rnacentral:misc_RNA from 1 species
UUCUCUCUGAAGAUUUGGCUUUGGAGUGUAAAGUUUAAUUCUUGGAUGAUCUAGAUACAUGUUGGAAAAGGGGAAAUUUGAAGAGAAACCUUGACCACUUCACCAUUUCCAGAAAACAUUAGAGCCACACUUGUAUUUGUCCUUCCCUUCACACUCCAAAGCCAAAUCUUCAGAGAGAAAAGGCACUUUCUUUUGCUUGGCAAGAUCUUGGCAGCCAGUGAAAUUCUCAGGGAACUGGCAUGAACCAAAUUCCACUGUGUAUGCUCUUGCAAAAUUUGCACCACUUGUGGCCAACCUCUUUUUGUCGUUCAGUUCCUUGUUAGCCUUGCUCUUUUCAAGGUAUUCUUCAAUGACUCCAGCAUUGGCAGAGGAAGCAGCAGCAGCAGAGGUGAAAACGGUAGCUGCAAGACAAAGCAUAGCAGCUCUCCUUCCCUCACUUUUGGAUUCAGAAGAAGCUCUAGCUUUCUGGGCUCUGAUUACAGGCAAAUUGGGGCCAGAGGAAACACCUGCAGGUAUUGAAGCAAGCUUUGAGCCAAGCUCAGAUGACCCAGAUCCAGUGCCUGAAAUGGCAUAAUUGCAUGCCAAAACACUAGAGUUCAUGGCUGCCAUUGCUGAAAAAAAUAUCUAAAUUUCUCUCUCUUUUUUUC